rnacentral:rRNA from 1 species
AUCUCUGUAUUUCCGAAUGGGGGAACCCAGCAUGAGUUAUGUCAUGUUAUCGACAUGUGAAUUCAUAGCAUGUCAGAAGGCAGACCCGGAGAACUGAAACAUCUUAGUACCCGGAGGAAGAGAAAGAAAAAUCGAUUCCCUGAGUAGCGGCGAGCGAAACGGGAAGAGCCCAAACCAACAAGCUUGCUUGUUGGGGUUGUAGGACACUCUAUACGGAGUUACAAAAGAACAUGUUAGACGAAUCAUCUGGAAAGAUGAAUCAAAGAAGGUAAUAAUCCUGUAGUCGAAAACAUAUUCUCUCUUGAGUGGAUCCUGAGUACGACGGAGCACGUGAAAUUCCGUCGGAAUCUGGGAGGACCAUCUCCUAAGGCUAAAUACUCUCUAGUGACCGAUAGUGAACCAGUACCGUGAGGGAAAGGUGAAAAGUACCCCGGAAGGGGAGUGAAAGAGAACUUGAAACCGUGUGCUUACAAGUAGUCAGAGCCCGUUAAUGGGUGAUGGCGUGCCUUUUGUAGAAUGAACCGGCGAGUUACGAUCUGAUGCAAGGUUAAGCAGCAAAUGUGGAGCCGCAGCGAAAGCGAGUCUGAAUAGGGCGUUGAGUAUUUGGUCGUAGACCCGAAACCAGGUGAUCUACCCUUGGUCAGGUUGAAGUUCAGGUAACACUGAAUGGAGGACCGAACCGACUUACGUUGAAAAGUGAGCGGAUGAACUGAGGGUAGCGGAGAAAUUCCAAUCGAACUUGGAGAUAGCUGGUUCUCUCCGAAAUAGCUUUAGGGCUAGCCUCAAGUGAUGAUUAUUGGAGGUAGAGCACUGUUUGGACGAGGGGCCCCUCUCGGGUUACCGAAUUCAGACAAACUCCGAAUGCCAAUUAAUUUAACUUGGGAGUCAGAACAUGGGUGAUAAGGUCCGUGUUCGAAAGGGAAACAGCCCAGACCACCAGCUAAGGUCCCAAAAUAUAUGUUAAGUGGAAAAGGAUGUGGCGUUGCCCAGACAACUAGGAUGUUGGCUUAGAAGCAGCCAUCAUUUAAAGAGUGCGUAAUAGCUCACUAGUCGAGUGACACUGCGCCGAAAAUGUACCGGGGCUAAACAUAUUACCGAAGCUGUGGAUUGUCCUUUGGACAAUGGUAGGAGAGCGUUCUAAGGGCGUCGAAGCAUGAUCGCAAGGACAUGUGGAGCGCUUAGAAGUGAGAAUGCCGGUGUGAGUAGCGAAAGACGGGUGAGAAUCCCGUCCACCGAUUGACUAAGGUUUCCAGAGGAAGGCUCGUCCGCUCUGGGUUAGUCGGG